rfam:Oryza punctata chromosome 8, whole genome shotgun sequence.
UUUAAGUGCAGCAUAGGUUUUUUCGUAUCCAACUUUAAUCAUAUAUCUUAUUUGAAAUUUUAUUAUAAUUAGUAUUUUUAUUAUUAUUAAAUGAUAAACUAUGAAUGGUACUUUAUGCGUACUUAUGUUUUUUAAUUUUUUUAAAUAAAAUGAACGAUAAAGUUGGACAUGAAAACUGAGGGUUGCAUCUAAA